rnacentral:rRNA from 1 species
AGGAUAAACGCUGGCGGCGUGCAUGAGACAUGCAAGUCGAACGGACGAUCAGGGCUUGCUCUGAUCGUUAGUGGCGGACGGCUGAGUAACGCGUAGGUGACCUGCCCCGAAGUGGGGAAUAACUGCCCGAAAGGGUGGCUAAUACCGCAUGUGGUGGUGUGUUCAUUCACACCAGUAAAGCCGCAAGGCGCUUCGGGAGGGGCCUGCGUCCGAUUAGCUCGUUGGUGGGUAACGGCUCACCAAGGCGACGAUCGGUAGGUGGUCUGAGAGGACGAUCACCCAGACUGGGACUGAGACACGGCCCAGACUCCUACGGGAGGCAGCAGUCGGGAAUUUUGCGCAAUGGACGAAAGUCUGACGCAGCAACGCCGCGUGAGGGAUGGAGGCCUUCGGGUUGUAAACCUCUUUAUCAGGGAAGAUAAUGACGGUACCUGAUGAAUAAGUCACGGCUAACUACGUGCCAGCAGCCGC